AUCUGUCUGCAUAUCAGCACCCGGUAGGACAUUACCAUUCUCCUUAUGGGGUGGAAGGCAUGAGAUACUGUGGAAGACGCUAAGGAGAAAGCCAUUCAGCUAGGAUAUUUUUGGACUUCCACCCUAUAAAGUGGUGACACAGCCUGUAAAAAAUCCCAAAAUGGUGCAGACUGAAGGAUUCCUCCAACCCAGAACAGUGGAGAGUGCUUAUUCAAGACGUGUGGUCUUACGCCCACUGAUCCAAAAGACCUGACCACCAAAGGCGUCAACAUCAGAUUACAAAUUCAAAGUACUGAAGGUCCUGAAGUGUUCUUCCAGAACAUGAGUGAUGUUGCUGGAAGAACAAAUUGCCUGCCAUGGACUGAGGGAU